rnacentral:lncRNA from 1 species
CCCCACCCACCUCGCACACCCCCCUCCCCGCUCCCGAUCCAGAUCGGAUCGGGGCCUCCCCGCGCCCGCCCGACGCCAUCCGCGCUGGCCCUAACACCGCCGCCCCUACCCCGUCGAUCCUCCUCCCGCCGUCCCUCGUCGGCGCCUGGGCGCGUGCCCCUCGCUCCCCGCGACCGUACCGUUGCCUCGCCCCGAUCCCGCGAACACCACCGAUGCCCAUGAGGCCACCUCGAUGGCGGCGCCCUCCGGGGGCCUCCACCGCCGGCCACGGCAUCGCCCCGCCACGCCGUCCUUUCCGGCGGCUCCUCACCGCCUUGCCCCGAGCCCACUGCCUGCCCUACACCCGCAUGUGAGGGGCCCCGCACCCUCUCCUCCUUGCCUUCUCUCAACCGACAACAACCGCCCCCCUGGCCAUCACCACCGGGCACUGGCACCGCCGGUGACUGGUUCUCCCCUCGCCUCACCGGCCGUGCUGCAGCCCGUCGCAGCCGCUGCCACGCCUUGGCCGCACCUCGCUGCUCUACCCACGCGCGCGCCCGUGCGUGGUCACACCCUCCGCUCGCCCCUGCUCGCGCUGCUGCGGUUCUCUGCCUGCUGCUGUUUUGCGUUGCUGCUGCCGCUAGUUACUACUCCGUGCUGUUGCUUAUUCGCUGCUAUAGCUAGCCGCUACUGCUGCCGUUUUGCCAUGCUGCUGCCCAUAGCCGUGCGUACUACUUGGCACAACCGGAGGGCUAACUAGCCCAUUGCCCAGUGGGGAAUAAACCCCUUGUAUUAGCUAUUUUUUGGCUAAUCCCACCCCUGACAGUGAAUGACAUACACGGCCUCGCACCCCCCUCUCUGUAUGCGUUUUAGCUAGUUUUAAAAAAAGAAAGUAAAUUACAAAAUGAUUAUGUAUAUAUAAUUAGUUUGAUUAAUUAAUUAAGAAUCUAGUUAAUUAAUUGAAUCUCGAAUUAAUUAGAUUAAUUAACCCCUGGGUCUAUGACAUGUGGGCCCAGGUCAUUAGCUCCAAUGACUAUGUCACUUUAAGUUAGAAUAAUUAGUUUAGUCUAAUGUGACACUCACUUGUGGGGUCCAGCCCCAUUAACAAGAAAUUGAACCUAUUAAUUUAAUUCUAUCCAUUCAUUAACCUAAUCAGGAAUAACACAUGGGUCCCACAUGCUAAUUAAAUUUGUUAAUUAUUUAUUAAACCUGGAUUUAAAAUGUGUGUAUGACAUAGUGGCCCUAGUGGUCAGUUGACCAGUUAAACCUGCGUGUUGACUGCUGAUGUCAGCCACAUAUCCGAGAAAUAUCAUCUGAUAUUUUUCCCGAUGCGUCUAUGACGAAUGACAUUAUGUUAGCUCAUGUCUAGCCCUGCAUAUUGCCAUGUCAUGCAUCAUGUUGCACCUGUUACUGUUGUUUAUUGUUUCUUCCCCCUCUUCUUACCGGUAGACCUCGAGACUAACACUAUUGUCGGGUAUGACUAUGCUCCUGACGAUCAUCCCUUUGCCGUAGAGCAACAAUGCAAGCAAACCCCCCUUGAUCAUCACUAUAUCACCUCUUUAUUUCUCCCACAUGCUUGCAUUAGAACUUUUGCUACUGCUGUAGAUAGAUCCUAUUCUCAUGCAUAGCCUAUUUUUGAUGAACUGCUAGUUUACCGUGCCGCAAUCUAAACUGUUUAGUAUAGGUGGAGCAGUAAUCCCCUUUGCCCCCUUAGUCGAGUUGCCCUGCUUUAUCGUCAAGUCUCGAUCAACUGAUCGACUAGACAAGACCCGACACAUUACUCACACCCCCCUAUGUUGUACUCCGAUGUUAGCGUUGUAGUGUAGUUGACCGGCGGUGGUUCUCGGAGGGUGAUUUCCUCAUUCACCACUUUCGAUAACGACUCUGUCGUACAACCCAUUAGGCAUGUCCCAUCGAGGGUGAUUCCUCCCUGGCCACCUUGACGGUUACAUCGUUCAGAAUCCAACGAGGGUGAUACUCCGAAUCCCCCUGAUGUUACAACCACACAUUUACUUGACCGUGUUACUGGAACAUUGAUGAAUAAAUUUUUGGCGGGUGGGUUCCCGCGUGGAUGUGUCGAUGAGUUAAUUAAAAUGUUAAUGGAUAUGGGUAUUUGAUCUGGGUUGGUCGGAGACCUUAUUCGCACUAACCGUCUACGUGGGAGAAGUUAUGUGUACUCGACAUCAUGGUAUCUCCAGAAGCUCUUCAUACGUCAACAAUGGAGCGGCGUGCACCCGAGUGGUCUGGAUUAUCACCGUUCUUUUAUAAGAGGUGCCAGGACUGACGUCGGCCGUCCUCGCAUCGUGCAGGAGUGCAAAGGGUGAUGGGCCCAUGACCCCCGCGUGCUUAGGAUUUAGACCGGCGGGCUGGCCUCUCUGUUGAGUCUAGGUGGGGCUGCGACGUGUCGAUGUUCUGAGGCCGAGCAUGACCCAGGAAAGUGUGUCCGACCAGAGUUUAUCGAGCUUGACGGGGAAUAUGUGGUGCACCCCUGCAGGAAUGAAAAUUAACUAUUCGGAUAGCCGUGUCCACGGUCACAGGACGACUUGGAGUUGUGUCCCGAUCUUAUACAACUACAAUUGUUACUUAACUAGAAUGUUUGCUCCGGGUUUGCUUCCUCGCAGGGAGUCGAGGAAGAAUCUCUGAGCGUGACAUUAGUUAAUAUUGUUGCCACAUUAUGACUAUUAAUUGUGUUACUUGCUCUACUCCCGUCUAUUGCUGCAAGACCCCUGAAGAUGCUAGUCUUCGAUAGGACUAGGCCUUCUCUCUCUAUUCUCGCAUUGCUACAGUGAGUCCACCUAUAACCCCUUCCGUUGAUACUGAUGCAUACUUAGCAUAGUUCUGAUGUCAGUCUUGCGAGUAGUUUGGAUGAGUACUCACCGUUGCUUUGCUCCCCCUCUUUUCCCCUCGAUCUGUUGCUGUGACCAGAUGAUGGAGCCAAGUAGAUGGCAUAUCCCGCCGACGGUGAUUGUUGCCCCGACGGUGCCUACUACUACAUGGAGGCCGCUGACGACCAUGAGUAGUUUAGGAGGUUCCCAGGCAGGAGGCCUCGCCUCGUUCGAUCACUGUAUCUUUUGUGCUAGCCUUCUCUAAGGCAUUAUCAUGUUCAUGUCUGUACUCAGAUAUUUGUUGCUUCUACUGACUCGUGUGUUUAUUGAGCUCCUGUAUCCUAGCCCUCGAGACAUUUGGCUUGUAAUAUGAAGCUUGUAUGUUUUUAUUUGAAUCGAGAGUUGUGUUGUGAUAUCUUCCCGUGAGUCCUUGAGCUUGGUCGUACAUAUUUGCGUGUAUGAUUAGCGUACGAUCAAAUCGAG